rnacentral:rRNA from 1 species
GACGAACGCUGGCGGCGUGCUUAACACAUGCAAGUCGAACGGAAAGGCCCUGCUUGCAGGGUACUCGAGUGGCGAACGGGUGAGUAACACGUGGGUGAUCUGCCCUGCACUUCGGGAUAAGCUUGGGAAACUGGGUCUAAUACCGGAUAGGAGCCAUCUUUAGUGUGGUGGUUGGAAAGUUUUUUCGGUGUAGGAUGAGCUCGCGGCCUAUCAGCUUGUUGGUGGGGUAAUGGCCUACCAAGGCGGCGACGGGUAGCCGGCCUGAGAGGGUGUACGGCCACAUUGGGACUGAGAUACGGCCCAGACUCCUACGGGAGGCAGCAGUGGGGAAUAUUGCACAAUGGGCGCAAGCCUGAUGCAGAGACGCCGCGUGGGGGAUGAAGGCCUUCGGGUUGUAAACUCCUUUCGCUAGGGACGAAGCUUUGUUGUGACGGUACCUAGAUAAGAAGCACCGGCUAACUACGUG